rnacentral:lncRNA from 1 species
GAGACAAGAGGGUCAAAGUCAAAAAAAGGAGACCAUAUGACAAUGGAAGCAGAGGGAAGCAGAGUCAGAGAGAGAAGAUGCUAUGCUGUGGCUUGGAAGAUGGUGGAAGGAGCCACCAGCCAAAGACUGAGGGCAGCCACUAGAAGAUGGAAAAGGCAAGGAAUAGAUUCUUUCCUGAAACCUUCAGAAGAAAUGCAGCACUACUGACACCUUGAUUUUAGACUUCUGACCUCCAGCACUGUAAGAGAGUGAAUUUGUGCUGUUUUAAGCCACUAAGUUUAUUUGUUACAGCAGCAAUGGGAAUCUAAUACAGUGGGCAUAUGGAAUUUAUUUGGCUUUUUUUCUACUUUUGUGAAAUUUUCUUUAAUAAAAAGUUUUUUGAAAAAUAAAAGAAAACCAGCAUUGAAAAAGUAAAUGUAAUAUGGGUUGAUAUACAGUGGAGCAAGUCCUCCUUUAUUGUUUUUUAAAUUAUUUUUUGCUGUUCUUCCACAUUUUACCUCCUGAAUACAUUUUUAAUUGGCUUGCCAAAUUUCUGUAAAAAAAAGAUCAUGAAGAUUAGCCCUGAGCUAACAUCUGCUGCCAAUCCUCCUCUUUUUGCUGAGGAAAACCGGCCCUGAGCUAACAUCUGUGCCCAUCUUCCUCUACUUUAUAUGUGGGACGCCUGCCGCAGCAUAGCUUGCCAAGCAGUGCCAUGUCCACAUCCAGGAUCUGACGAACCCGGGCCGCCAAAGCAGAACAUGCGAACUUAAUCAUUGCGCCACCGGGCUGGCCCUUGGCCUCCCUUUCAAGACACAUUCUCCGCUAUAGCCUUACUACCAUAAUGUAAAUACUUUAAGGCCUGUUUAUCCCCUUGUGUUUGUUCUCAGCUGGCUCAUAAUUAGCAUGUCUAAUUGUAUUCUCUGAAAUCACCAAUACAUUGUAGAUAGCUGACUAAAUGAUGGAGCUGGAUGGAGCUGAAUGGAGCUGAAGAACACAAGCAGAAUUGAUCCCAGGCAUUCCGAAGCCUGCCCUGGAGACUAACAAAACAAAACGAAACAAAAUAAGUGAAGGGGAAGGAGUGGAGGCUGGUGGAAGAAGUGGCAACAUUUAGACCUUAAUACUCAUGUGACCUCAUUGCCUGGACUUGUGAAGCCUGAGGGUAUUUUAAUUUUAUAAGUAGUACUUAAUUUAAUAAGAAACAUACAGCAGGAUACACCCUUUGUACUACAACUACUGGAUUGCUUUGGCACAGCAAAAAUGCUCUGACACUUUACUUCAGAUUUAAUUCAAUUAAGAAACUGAGUUUCACACAGAAAGGAGGAGAGUUCCUAGCUGCUGGCGAAUCUAUUUAGUAGGUGAGUAAAGGAGAAAGGAUGAGCCUGCCUUGGGCACUGGAGCAAACAGGUACAGAAGAUGUGCAAUCAGAUCCAGCAAAAACAUUGGAAAACUUGGAACCAUCUCAGGUUGAGCUGCUUUUCUCCUAACUGAAGAGAGGGUACGUCUGAGAGUCAGGCAAGGGAGAGCCACAGCUGUGGACAGGGGCCAACGAGGAACUAGAGUCUGAGUCUUCGGUGAGGUGGCCUCAGAGAAGAUAAGAAUCAGGUCCAGAAAUGAGAGUUCUGCCUCGCAGGACAAGCGAAACAUAUCUUGAGCUUUCUGUCUUUGUAUUCUUUGAUAAAAUCCUUCAGACAAGAAGAGUAUUAAAACACAAAUCAGAGGACUUGGAUCUAGUCCCAGUUCUGUCACUAACAACACUAGCUGAUACAGCAGAAGAUAAUUUGACCCCAAGCAAGUUUAUAGGAUGCAAGUUGGCCAACCCAACAAGUUGGUUAAAAUAUCUAUUUGUUCCAGAAAUCAUAUAUCUAAUCACUGAUUUUUCAAUAAUUGAUCAUUCUGGUGCCUUGCAGUAUUGUUUUGCAAUAUUUUAAAUCUUUAGAUGCUUUUGCAUUUUUCAGCAUUCAGAGGUUUAUUUUCCAGUAAAUAAAUCAUAAGCCCUACAUUAUUCAAUUCAUCCUUGUCUAGAAAAUAUCAUUGAGGCAUAAGCUUAAGGCAUUGGUUAACAAUUCUUAAUGAAGAACCUUGAAAGAAUAGGUGACUGCCAUUUGCUUUGAGAAGACCAGCCCCAAAUUGGUUAUUAAAAUUUGUUCCCCAGGGGCCGGCCCUGUGGCUGAGUGGUUGAAGUUCUGCAUGCUCUGCUUCAGUGGCUUGGGUCUGUGGGUUCGGAUCCCGGGCAUGGAACUACUCCAUUCAUCAGCCAUGCUGUGGCAGCAUCCCACAUACAAAAUAGAGGAAGAUUGGCACAUGUGUUAGCUCAGGGGUAAUCUUCCUCAAGCAAAAAAAGAGGAAGAUUGGCAGCAGAUGUUAGCUCAGGGUGAAUCUUCAUCACUAAAAAAAAAAAAAUAUAUAUUGUUCCACAGAAUUCUCAGUACCCUAGAUAAACCCAUGUGUCUCCCUGGGUUCCCUGCCUCCUCUGGUAAGGGUCAAGAGAAUUCCCAAGAACCCUGUGGAUUUGAAUGGAGUAGGAGUGCCCCUCCCCAGCCUCCACACUUUCAACUGCAGCAGAGAAGAUGGGAUUCUAGAGCUCUCUUUCUGGCGAGAUCCCCACUGCUCCAUACCAUCUGACACACCCCCAUUAUCUACCCUUCCACCAUUAAGACCAAUCUUAUUAUGCCUUUAGCCUUGUUCUAUCAGUCUCCACAAGAAGCCCCAACACCUAGGUUACCCCUCAUUCAGGUACACCUCAGCACUUAGCACUUCUAAUUCCAUCUCCUCUUUCCCCAAACUCUGAGCCUCUGGACAGGCAGUAAAAUCCUCUGUAUCCUCAAACUCUCCUCUUAAUGGUUUCUUUCUUAUUCUAAGUGAAUCUUAUUUCUCCCCUGAAGUCACUGCUUCUCCUGCAUCUUUCUCAUGGACAUCAAGAGCCUAUUUUGGAAGUAAUAAUCCCAAACAUCCUGGAGGCAACGGAUGCAUUAGGGCCUGCCAGUAAUUGUUUGAAUUUCUUUGAGAACGUGUGAAAAAAAAUAAGCAAAAACAUAUUUUUCAGUAAUUUCUAUCACAGCUGAGUGAAAAAAAAAGAUGUUAAGGAGUAUAAGUAGUAUACCAUCAUUUGGGGAGGAGGAGAAGAAAAGAAUACAUACAUGAAUACUUAUAUACACAUAGAAAUGUCCUAGGGAGUCACAAAAAACUUCUAACCACAGUUGAGCCUCAGAAG